rnacentral:rRNA from 1 species
CAUGCAGUCGAACGAUAUCAAGGGGCUUGCUCCUUGAGAAAGUGGCGCACGGGUGCGUAACGCGUAUGCAACCUACCUUUAUCUGGGGGAUAGCCCGGAGAAAUCCGGAUUAAUACCGCAUAAAAUCACAGUACGGCAUUGUACAAUGAUCAAACAUUUAUGGGAUGAAGAUGGGCAUGCGUGUCAUUAGCUAGUUGGCGGGGUAACGGCCCACCAAGGCGACGAUGACUAGGGGAUCUGAGAGGAUGGCCCCCCACACUGGUACUGAGACACGGACCAGACUCCUACGGGAGGCAGCAGUAAGGAAUAUUGGUCAAUGGAGGCAACUCUGAACCAGCCAUGCCGCGUGCAGGAAGACUGCCCUAUGGGUUGUAAACUGCUUUUAUCCGGGAAUAAACCUAUCUACGUGUAGAUAGCUGAAUGUACCGGAAGAAUAAGGAUCGGCUAACUCCGUGCCAGCAGCCGCGGUAAUACGGAGGAUCCAAGCGUUAUCCGGAUUUAUUGGGUUUAAAGGGUGCGUAGGCGGCCUGUUAAGUCAGGGGUGAAAGACGGUAGCUCAACUAUCGCAGUGCCCUUGAUACUGACGGGCUUGAAUAGACUAGAGGUAGGCGGAAUGAGACAAGUAGCGGUGAAAUGCAUAGAUAUGUCUCAGAACACCGAUUGCGAAGGCAGCUUACUAUGGUCUUAUUGACGCUGAGGCACGAAAGCGUGGGGAUCAAACAGGAUUAGAUACCCUGGUAGUCCACGCCCUAAACGAUGAACACUCGCUGUUGGCGAUACACAGUCAGCGGCUAAGCGAAAGCGUUAAGUGUUCCACCUGGGGAGUACGGUCGCAAGAUUGAAACUCAAAGGAAUUGACGGGGGCCCGCACAAGCGGAGGAGCAUGUGGUUUAAUUCGAUGAUACGCGAGGAACCUUACCCGGGCUUGAAAGUUAGUGAAGAUACCAGAGAUGGAAUCGUCCGCAAGGACACGAAACUAGGUGCUGCAUGGCUGUCGUCAGCUCGUGCCGUGAGGUGUUGGGUUAAGUCCCGCAACGAGCGCAACCCCUAUGUUUAGUUGCCAGCACGUCAAGGUGGGGACUCUAAACAGACUGCCUGUGCAAACAGAAAGGAAGGAGGGGACGACGUCAAGUCAUCAUGGCCCUUACGUCCGGGGCUAC